rnacentral:lncRNA from 1 species
GGAUACCCUCAGAGGCUGCUGAUGUUAUGAAACAUGUGCCUAUGCACGACAUGACAUUCAUACACAUAUGCAUGAUACAAUAAUUAUUUCAUGAUUUACAAAGUUAUUCAGACUUACAGGUGGAGUCAUUUACUCUAUAUUUCCUUCAUGUCUGUUAUGUACUUAUUUAUGUACCUACAUACUCAAUACAUAAUUCCCUUUUUGCCUGGGGACGCUGUGUUUCAUGCCCGCAGGUCCCGAUGGACAAGUUAAAAGCCCUCCAAGUACGCUAUCGGCUCAGCGAAAGAUGUUGGUGCGCUCCAUUUGCUUCGGAGUUGCUUGUUUGGUAUGGCGGGACUUUAUCCUGACCUUUAUGAAAAUUAUGUAUUCUUAGAGGCUUGUAGACAGAUGUCAUGUACAUAAAAGAUUGUAUGCCCUUGUCGGCCUAUGUUCAGUGUUCAAGUGGUUAUUUUGGUCUUAGAGGCUCAUAUAUCUUAUGUAUAAGUUGGCAUUACCUAUUGUAUUCUACCUAUUUCACGGCAACCUUUCCAGCUCAG